rnacentral:rRNA from 1 species
UACGGGGGGGGCAAGCGUUGUUCGGAAUUACUGGGCGUAAAGGGCUCGUAGGCGGCCAACUAAGUCAGACGUGAAAUCCCCAGGCUUAACCUGGGAACUGCGUCUGAUACUGGAUGGCUUGAAUUCGGGAGAGGGAUGCAGAAUUCCAGGUGUAGCGGUGAAAUGCGUAGAUAUCUGGAGGAAUACCGGUGGCGAAGGCGGCAUCCUGGACCGACAUUGACGCUCAUGCACGGAAGCGUGGGGAGCAAACAGG